rnacentral:rRNA from 1 species
GUAGUCUGCAACCCGACUACAUGAAGCCGGAAUCGCUAGUAAUCGCGGAUCAGAAUGCCGCGGUGAAUACGUUCCCGGGUCUUGUACACACCGCCCGUCACACCAUGGGAGCCGGGGGUGCUUGAAGUGCGUCGCCGCAAGGCGCGCCCUAGAGCAAAACCGGUGACUGGGGCUAAGUCGUAACAAGGUAAC